GACGAACGCUGGCGGCGUGCUUAACACAUGCAAGUCGAGCGGAGCGGCGAACGGGUGGGUAACGCGGGAGUAACUGCCCCCCUCUCUGGGAUAACAGUUGGAAACGGCUGCUAAUACCGGAUAGUGGGGGAUGACUCGGGUCCUAUCGGCUUGUUGGUGGGGUAGUGGCCUACCAAAGCGACGACGGGUAGCCGGCCUGGGAGGGCGGCCGGCCACAAUGGGCUGAGAUACGCCGCAAAGUCCUACGGGGGGCAGCAGGGGGGAAUAUUGCACAACGGGGGAAACUGUGAGGAAGCAACGCCGCGGUCGGGAUGAACGCUUUCGGGUUGUAAACCGCUUUCAGCCAUUACGCGGUAGUGGCAGAAGAAGCACCGGCUAACUACGUGCCAGCAGCCGCGGUAAUAC
rnacentral:rRNA from 1 species